GAUGAACGCUGACAGAAUGCUUAACACAUGCAAGUCUUUGGCGAAGCUGUGCUUGCACAGCCUAGCCAAGGCGGACGGGUGAGUAACGCGUAAGGAACUUGCCCUGCAGUCAGGGAUAACAGACGGAAACGACUGAUAAGACCUGGUAAAGUCAGGCGGACUCAUGUCCAGCCUGAUGAAAAGAGAUGCUGCAGGAGAGCCUUGGGUCCUAUUAGCUUGUUGGUGGGGUAACGGCCCACCAAGGCGAUGAUAGGUAGCCGGCCUGAGAGGGUGGACGGCCACAAGGGGACUGAGAUACGGCCGUUACCCCUACGGGAGGCAGCAGUGGGGAAUAUUGGACAAUGGGGGCAACCCUGAUCGAGAAAUUCUGUGUGCACGAUGAAGGUUUUCGGAGUGUAAAGUGCUUUCAGCAGGGAAGAAAAAAAUGACGGUACCUGCAGAAGAAGCGACGGCUAAAUACGUG
rnacentral:rRNA from 1 species